rnacentral:snRNA from 1 species
GUGCUUGCUCUGGCAGCACAUAUGCUAAAAUUGGAACAAUAGAAGAUUAGCAUGGCCUCUGUGCAGGGGUAACACAAAAACUUCUGAAAUGUUCCAUAUUUUG